GGGGGCGAUCUGGCUUCGACGGGUUGUUGAGGCUGGGCGUUGCGUGUCGAGGUCGUAGCCACCUCGUUAAACAGCUGCAGUCUGGUAGUGAAUAUCUGCCGAUGACAACUACGCUCUCGCUGCCUAACUAACCCUUAGGAAUUAGCGACUACCGUCCAUGACGUCCUCUAGUGGGUCGCGGUAGUGAUAUGAGGACUGGCUCCCGAGCGCUGCUCGGCCGUACCCGGGAGUGAGAGCUACGUCGAGCUAGGGUCUGCUCGGCUCGUCUCUUCGCCUGGCAACGCCCGAAAUCAAGCGGAGACUACGCACGUAGACGCGUCCAGAAGACGCAAUGCGGACGCGGGUUCGAUUCCCGCCGCCUCCACCA
rnacentral:tmRNA from 1 species